GUCGAGAAUCUUUCACAAUGGGGGCAACCCUGAUGGAGCGACGCCGCGUGGAGGAUAAGGUCUUCGGAUUGUAAACUCCUGUCAUGCGUGAACAAGGUUGCUUGGAUAAUACCUGAGCAAAUUGAUGGUAGCGCAAGAGGAAGAGACGGCUAACUCUGUGCCAGCAGCCGCGGUAAUACAGAGGUCUCAAGCGUUGUUCGGAAUCACUGGGCGUAAAGGGUGCGUAGGUGGCGUGGCAAGUCAGAUGUGAAAGCCCGGGGCUCAACCUCGGAACUGCAUCCGAUACUGCCAUGCUAGAGUACGGGAGGGGUGACUAGAAUUCUCGGUGUAGCAGUGAAAUGCGUAGAUAUCGAGAGGAAUACCAAAGGCGUAGGCAGGUCACUGGACAGUUACUGACACUGAGGCACGAAGGCCAGGGGAGCGAACGGGAUUAGAAACCCGAGUAGUCC
rnacentral:rRNA from 1 species